CACCUUCCUGGAACAUCUGGGACAGUCUGCAGAAGCAAGCCAAGCUCUCCGGCCAACCAAGUGUUGAGCAAGCUGUCUACUCUGGCCAGAAGUGACCCCUGUGAAAAGGAUCAUGACCCACAGGUUGAGAACCACUGGUGUAAACAAUGUGACUAAACAAGCUAUUGCUGAAGCUUCCAACUGCCGACCACUAAACAAUUGCUACCAUGAGGUAAGCAAUUCUUUCUCUACCCAUUGCCACCGUGAUGCCUCACUGCAGUCCCAAAAGUCACAGGCUCACUGACAAAGGACUGAAACCUCCAACACUGCCAGCCAAAAGAAAAGUACAUACAACUGACUUGCCGGGAACAUUUCUGGCUAUUCGGUCUGAGUUGUAACUGCUUGGCUCUGCCUUCUGUAGCACAGAUUGUCAUAGGCAACAGGAAAACAGAUGAGCAUGGCUGUGUUCCAGACAAAUCUGACCCAUGAAUGUUGAAAUCUAAAUUCUUAUCAUCUUCAGUUGUCAUGAAAUAUGAUUCUUUUGGUUUUUUACACUUUAAAAGUGGUCAAAGUCACUCUUAGCUUCAAAUCAGAUUGGCUUUAUAGGCAGUGGUCUACUGUUUCCUGAUUGGAUGUCAGAUUUUGGAGGAGAUAGACUUGCGCUUCAGGAUUUCUAGGCUGAGGGAUGACCUGGAGGUACCCAAAGGAUGAAUCUUGAUGCAGUUUCGUGUGGCUUGUAAAGAAAUUUGGACUUUACCCUAUGUACACAUAAUGGGUUUUUAGUGGAACACUCAUUUGUUAUAACAAUUUUUUGGUUUUUGUUUUUGCAUUGCGAUUUUCUUUGUGACCAUUUUUGGAGGCUGAGUCAGUUUUGUUCUGUUUUAUGUGUUGGCAGAGCAAUCAUGAAAGAAC
ensembl:lncRNA